UACAGAGGUCUCAAGCGUUGUUCGGAUUCAUUGGGCGUAAAGGGUGCGUAGGCGGCGCGGUAAGUCGGGUGUGAAAUCUUGGAGCUUAACUCCGAAACUGCAUUCGAUACUGCCGUGCUUGAGGACUGGAGAGGAGACUGGAAUUCACGGUGUAGCAGUGAAAUGCGUAGAUAUCGUGAGGAAGACCAGUGGCGAAGGCGGAUCUCUGGACAGUUCCUGACGCUGAGGCGCGAAGGCCAGGGGGAGCAAACGGGG
rnacentral:rRNA from 1 species